rnacentral:rRNA from 1 species
AGAGUUUGAUCCUGGCUCAGGACGAACGCUGGCGGUGUGCUUCACACAUGCAAGUCGAACGGAGUAGCAAUACUCAGUGGCGGACGGGUGAGUAACACGUGGGAAUCUACCAUUAGGUGGGGAAUAACAGGCCGAAAGGACUGCUAAUGCCGCAUAUGUAGGCAUCUCGACAGAGAUGUUUAUGAAAGGAGUAAUCCGCCUUUUGAUGAGCCCGCGUCCGAUUAGCUAGUUGGUAGGGUAAAAGCCUACCAAGGCGACGAUCGGUAGGUGGUCUGAGAGGAUGAUCACCCACAAUGGGACUGAGACACGGCCCAUACUCCUACGGGAGGCAGCAGUGGGGAAUUUUACGCAAUGGGGGAAACCCUGACGUAGCGACACCGCGUGAGCGAAGAAGCCCUUUGGGGUGUAAAGCUCUGUCAACAGGAACGAAACAAAUGACGGUACCUGUGGAGGAAGCAUCGGCUAACUACGUGCCAGCAGUCGCGGUAAGACGUAGGAUGCAAGCGUUGUCCGGAUUUAUUGGGCGUAAAGAGUUCGUAGGCGGUUUGUUAAGUCUGAUGUUAAAGACCGGGGCUCAACCUCGGAAAUGCAUUGGAUACUGGCAGACUGGAGUGCAGUAGAGGCUAGUGGAAUUCCCAGUGUAGCGGUGAAAUGCGUAGA